rnacentral:rRNA from 1 species
UUACUCCAACCCCUGUGACAUACCACUUGUUGCCUCGGCGGAUCAGCCCGCUCCCGGUAAAACGGGACGGCCCGCCAGAGGACCCCUAAACUCUGUUUCUAUAUGUAACUUCUGAGUAAAACCAUAAAUAAAUCAAAACUUUCAACAACGGAUCUCUUGGUUCUGGCAUCGAUGAAGAACGCAGCAAAAUGCGAUAAGUAAUGUGAAUUGCAGAAUUCAGUGAAUCAUCGAAUCUUUGAACGCACAUUGCGCCCGCCAGUAUUCUGGCGGGCAUGCCUGUUCGAGCGUCAUUUCAACCCUCAAGCACAGCUUGGUGUUGGGACUCGCGUUAAUUCGCGUUCCCCAAAUUGAUUGGCGGUCACGUCGAGCUUCCAUAGCGUAGUAGUAAAACCCUCGUUACUGGUAAUCGUCGCGGCCACGCCGUUAAACCCCAACUUCUGAAUGUUGACCUCGGAUCAGGUAGGAAUACCCGCUGAACUUAAGCAUAUCAAAAGCCGGGAGGAAA